rfam:Physcomitrella patens subsp. patens PHYPAscaffold_67 genomic scaffold, whole genome shotgun sequence.
UAAAAGGCUUUUAUAAAAGCCAUUAUAAAUAUCUUAAAAUAUUAUU